GCAGAAGCAAACUUUCCUGUACUGAAACCGAGUGCUCAUGAGAGACCUGCUGAAAUGCAUCAUCUAGCACAAAGGUUUCUGCAGGAUUACAAGGUGUUGAAGCUGUGUGGAAAUCCUUACCCGAUUUAUAUUCCAUAUGGAAAUUAAGGACCAGAUCCUUUCUUCAGAGGAGUUGCUUCGAUUUACACCCACUGGGAAUAUGACACAAUGCUCUUUCCAUAGAGAACAAACAGAAUAUCAUAGGAUCAUAAAAUCUCAGAGAAACCCCGCCAAAGCCCAGAGGCAACUUAUUUCCACACGACAAAGAAACAGAUUGACUGCUACUUGAUUCCUGCUCUGUAUUGAUAGUGAUGAUAGAAAUACACCACACAUGCAGAAGCAU
rnacentral:lncRNA from 1 species